rnacentral:ribozyme from 14 species
GAGAGAGAGAGAGAGAGAGAAAGAUAAAAAAUGGUAUUCAAAUUCAAUUCCAUGUUUUAUUCAUUCCUUAUUUUUUACUGCUGCUUACCAUUUUGGUGACAAUCUCCUGAUCUGUCAUCAC